AUGUCCAAUGCAGUUGCACUAGCGGCAGAUCUCGGCGUAGUUCAGCCGGUCUUUGAAACAGACUCACAACUUUUGGUAGAAGCCUUGGAUCUCCGGAAAGCUGACUCCUCACCGUAUGCAGCCGUUAUUGAGAAUACAAAGUUUCAGCUGAAGUUGUGGUUUUCUAAAUAUGUUCUAGGGGUGUGUAGACGUAGUGCAAAUUCAGUUGCACAUGAACUAGCCAAUGUUGGCAGAAUGUACCCUGCAAACCAUUAUGUAGACUUUCAGUCGAAUGUUCCAGCUCAAGUGGCUGAAUGUGUCAGGUGA
rnacentral:rRNA from 1 species